UCCUAGCUCUUGAAGCCUUGCAAGGGCAAGUGUGACACAGUAAGAGACACGUAGAGCUACCCGUCCUUGGUUCCUGACCCAGAACUCCUCAAAGUCUUGACUUCCCUGACUACUGGGGCAGACAGGAGCAUCUCACCUAGAGCUCCGGGAUCUCCUGGGUGAUAGGAGCAUCGUUUGUUGUCACAAAGCAACACUCGGCGACCUCCUGGAUGAGGGCUGGUCACCAGAAAGGCCAAGCCAUGAUUGGCAGCUUGGAAAUUUCAGCCCCACCCCAUCCUCUGGAGAGCGGAGAAGGAGCUAGAGAGUGAGUCAAUACUGGGUCAUUACCUGCGUGGCGAACCCUCUCUCAAAAUCCCCAAUCUAUGGGGUUUGGAGAGCUUCAGGUUGCUAAACACACCCUAAGGGGUGGGAUGAGACACGCCAACCCCACGGAGACAGACGCCCUUGCACCCAGGACCUUUGCAGAAUUCACCCUCUGUACCUGUUCAUCUGCCAUUCAUCUGUAUCCCUGAUCGUAUUCUUUAUAAGCCAGUGAAUGUAAGUACGUUGUUUCCUUGAGUUUGGUGAGCAUUGAUAGCAAAUUACUGAACCUGAAAGGGGGACGUGUUGCUGACUCAGAGAGAAGUGUGGGUAUCCUGGGGAGCCCCGACUUGAGACCGGCAAUGUGAAAUGGAGGCCAUGUUCGGACUGAGCCCGUCACCUGUGUGGUCUAUACUAACUUUGGGUGCUUCGUGGCAUAUUGGAGUCAAACUGUAGGACAGUCAGUUGGUACCUACAGAGAACUUACAAACUGCUUGGUGUGGAAAACCCACACGUUUGGUGUCAGAAAUAGCGACAGUGGGGGCGCCUGGGGGGCUCAGUUGGUCAAGCGUCAGACUUCGGCUCAGGUCAUGAUCUCACAGUCCGUGAGUUCGAGCCCUGCGUCAGGCUCACUGCUGACAGCUCGGAGCCUGAAGCCUACUCCAGAUUCUGUGUCACCCUCUCUCUCUGCCUCUUCACCCACUUGUGCUCUGUCUCUCUCAAAAAUAAAUAUUAAAAAAAAAAGUAGAGCAAGUGAAUUUUCCAAUGUUCAGUAAAUCUAGAACUGUCCAGCCACGUUUGUCAGAGUCCCUAAGAGGAUCUGCUGUGGGAGGUUCCCUGGCGGCCUCACCUGGCUCCCAGGGUCCAUGGGACCGACCCUUCAUCACACCGCUCUCAGCAUUGUCCUCUCCCGACGACCUCUGCACCCUCCUCCUCCACCCGAGACUCUGUUCUUCUCUCCACCCUUCAAGGACAAGCUGGCCUCAGGGCCUUUGCACGGCAGCUCCCUCAGCCUGGACUCCUCUUCUCCAGGUGUCCUCAGUGCUCACUCCUCACUUCCCUCAGGCUUGGCUGAAAAAUCACGUCCACAGAGUAAAAGUAGCAAAAAGUAGCAAAUGCUUCCUCUGCCUUCCCCCUUCGCCUGACGGGACAUUUUAUCUCUAGUGUCUGUAUGUUUAUUCCUCCCUCGUCCCCUCCCCUUCCUCCACGCACGAAGCCUUCGCGGUCAGAGAUGCACGUUCCUGGCGCUCUCUCUGCAGCACCUUGCACAUCGCCUGGCACGUAACGGGCUCUCAAAAAUAUCUGUGGAACGAGUGAACUACAGGCAAGGAGGAUCACAAAGCACACCCAUCGUGUGCUGUGUAUUUUUCCAAAGCGGUUUUAAACUCUCACAGCCAGCAAACCAGGCAAACAAUGCCCUUGCCAUUCGCUCUUCUCAUGGGGGAGCCACUUGACUGAAAUCUGUGAGCAGUACAACAGGGUUCCUUGAGUUCUUCGGCUGGUUCAUUCUGUGUGCACGGCUGUUCCCAGUGACGCUGUGACGAAUCCCGGCAUCUCUCCAAAAGGAUACUAAGUCACGCUCUGUAACCCAGAGUUUGUUGCUGUUACUGUGAAAUCCACGGACGUGACUUUUCAACUGGAUUGAUCUACCAUUUAGAUCCACUCUCCUUCAAAGUCCCCCAGAACCUUCCUUUCAGCCAUCCUCGAAGGUUCAGAAGCAAUCUGAAAACUCACUCAUGUAGUGCUGUUCAGAGAAGAGUGUGCUGUGUACCUGUGGGUUUGACCAUCGCCAUGCCCCCCCCCCCCACCCCAAGUCCUACCCUGGGCCCCAAGAAGUGCAUUUUUCGUGAUGGAAAAUGGGGGCUUCUGGAAGACUGUCACAUAAAAUAACUUCAGAGGAGGGGAUCUCCACCCUAAACACAGCUGAUUUCUCAGGCCCAUAGUGGUAAUGUCUCUUUGUGAACCAAAUAAUUAUUUUCUCAUUGAAAACCUGAGAUAAAUGGGUUUUAUUGUGUUCCUAAUUGUUAUUCCCGAAGAUACCGAAGAUACUGUCUUUCAACACCCUCCUCACGUCUUAUCCACGUUGCUGUUUUCUCCUUUCUUCAAAGCGUUGUAGAAAGUCUCUCCUCAGUUUCCAGAAGGCACGAAGAUUACCAAGAUUGCUCUGACGUGCAGGAAUAAACAGAAAUGUAAGAAUACAUGAGUGGUUUCCCCGCUGAGGCAAAAUCCACGUGGGAUAAAGAAGAGAUUAACGCUUUCAAAAAGAAUAUUCGUGGCUUCUUAUUUUCAAAAAGGGAGCUCGCUAGGAAACCUAUGCUAUAGGUCAGUAUACAGCUAGACUCAUGAGUCGAAUAAGCAGGCCAGGGGUGGGAGAUGGGGUGUAGACACUCCAGAGUCCCCUCCGCGUCACCUCGGCCUCCCCAUCUAGCUGAGACUGAACGGACAUUCAUUCCGUUAUCUCGAUUACGCACCAGGAAGGUGUGACAUAAUGUAAGCAGCCCUUCAUGCUUUAGUGUGAAUUACAGCACUGAUAAAAAUCUUAACAGAA